UACGGAGGGUGCAAGCGUUAUCCGGAUUCACUGGGUUUAAAGGGUGCGUAGGCGGCCCGCUAAGUCGAACGUGAAAUCCCCGAGCUCAACUCGGGAACUGCGUCCGAUACUGGUGGGCUUGAAUCCGGGAGAGGGAUGCGGAAUUCCAGGUGUAGCGGUGAAAUGCGUAGAUAUCUGGAGGAACACCGGUGGCGAAGGCGGCAUCCUGGACCGGCAUUGACGCUGAGGCGCGAAAGCUAGGGGAGCAAACGGG
rnacentral:rRNA from 1 species